rnacentral:lncRNA from 1 species
GGGUAAACUCAUUUUCUGUUGAAGCAUUGCUGUUUUAUACACUAGAUCAGGGACUGAAACCCAAGCAACAAAUAGUUGUGUGAAUAACUUUUCUAGAACCAGAAUUCAUAUUACUGAGUCAGGAACAUAGAUCAACCCUGCCCUAUGCAUUACUGGGGCUGGCUCCUCAGCCUCCUCCCUCUUGCAGACCAGCCACAAGACCAAUAUUGAUACUGCCCUGCAGAAACAAAACUCAUUAGUUUAGACUUGAUUGCUCAUUUGCAUUCAUUGUGAUCAUGCCUUAUCUUCCAAAUUGGAAACCACUAGUCUAAGGUUUACAGCAUGCAUCUGGAGGAUGACCAAAAGUUGAGUUUCCCUGCUGGUAGAAGACAGGAUGGUGCUGGAGGCUCAACCCUACUUUACUUGGAGAACAGCUUGGAGGAGUCCAGAGUUGCUGGCUGGCCUAUGGAGCAGAUCAACUUGACACUACGGAGCGCUGGCACCGAUGACAUCUUUCUACAUGGAAGCUCUUCAUCACCAAGACAUCUGAUGACUGGAUCACAGCAAAGCAUCUGAGAAGCCAUCUGUUUUGGUCCCUUGGAUGAGCAUUCAUGAGCAUAUUGAAAUGAAAACAAAGACAGAGAAAGAACAGAAAGAGUCUGGAACUUCAUUCUCUUCAUUGUUUCUUCAUAGCCUAGCAAUUAUUCAUGAGAUAAAUGACUGAAUUUUAAUAUACAUGGCAAAACAUGUUUCCAUUAAUAUUUGUGAAUGAGCUACAAUUAUGAAACUGGUUUGCUGUCUCUGAUUUUUUGCCAAACCUCUUCCAGGCGGACUAUUUUUGUCAUGGGAAUUGGCCAUAAACAUUUUAUGCUUAAGCGUAAAUUUAAGAUAAUUUAUUCUGGAUUUAUAUCAGUAUAUCUCGUUUUAGCUCAUGGCAUUUUCUUUAUUUAAAACAGUACAAAUCUCAGCAGCAUCUGAUUUAGUAAAGAGAACCAUGGAGCUUCUAUGGAUAGUGAGGGCCAUAUUUUUUAAACAAAAAAGCUGUCUGCCCAUGUCACUACUAUUGAAAAAUGUUCGUGUCAUAAUAGUGCAUAAAUAAUAAUUAAAUCUUAGUCUGCUGUAAGGGAUUUCAAUCAUCAUUUCUGUAGCUUUUUUUUCCCCACUUUUCUCACACAAUUUGUAUAAUUUUUUUUAUACCGAGCAACUUUUGAAAGAGUAAAUGUAUUUGCAUAUAUAAGUCAAAUUUAGAAAUGAGAAACAUGAGAAAGCUAUUUCAUGGAAACACCAUCAGGAAAUUGUGGAGAAAUAAAUAUUGUAUCUCAUCUCUGACCA